GUCGAACGAUGAACCUCACUUGUGGGGGGAUUAGUGGCGAACGGGUGAGUAACACGUGAGUAACCUGCCCUUGACUCUGGGAUAAGCCUGGGAAACCGGGUCUAAUACUGGAUACGACCUUCUGGCGCAUGCCAUGUUGGUGGAAAGCUUUUGUGGUUUUGGAUGGACUCGCGGCCUAUCAGCUUGUUGGUGGGGUAAUGGCCUACCAAGGCGACGACGGGUAGCCGGCCUGAGAGGGUGACCGGCCACACUGGGACUGAGACACGGCCCAGACUCCUACGGGAGGCAGCAGUGGGGAAUAUUGCACAAUGGGCGCAAGCCUGAUGCAGCGACGCCGCGUGAGGGAUGAAGGCCUUCGGGUUGUAAACCUCUUUCAGUAGGGAAGAAGCCGGCCUUUCGGGGUUGGUGACGGUACCUGCAGAAGAAGCGCCGGCUAACUACGUGCCAGCAGCCGCGGUAAUACGUAGGGCGCAAGCGUUAUCCGGAAUUAUUGGGCGUAAAGAGCUCGUAGGCGGUUUGUCGCGUCUGCCGUGAAAGUCCGGGGCUUAACCCCGGAUCUGCGGUGGGUACGGGCAGACUAGAGUGCAGUAGGGGAGACUGGAAUUCCUGGUGUAGCGGUGAAAUGCGCAGAUAUCAGGAGGAAC
rnacentral:rRNA from 1 species